UACGGAGGGGACUAGCGUUGUUCGGAAUUACUGGGCGUAAAGCGCACGUAGGCGGAUUUGUAAGUCAGGGGUGAAAUCCCGGGGCUCAACCUCGGAACUGCCUUUGAUACUGCGAAUCUCGAGUCCGGAAGAGGUGAGUGGAAUUCCUAGUGUAGAGGUGAAAUUCGUAGAUAUUGGGAAGAACACCGAUGGCGAAGGCAGCCAUCUGGACCGACACUGACGCUGAGGCGCGAAAGCGUGGGGAGCAAACAGG
rnacentral:rRNA from 1 species